rnacentral:rRNA from 1 species
UACGAAGGGGGCUAGCGUUGCUCGGAAUCACUGGGCGUAAAGCGCACGUAGGCGGGUCGUUAAGUCGGGGGUGAAAUCCUGGAGCUCAACUCCAGAACUGCCUUCGAUACUGGGAGUCUCGAGUCCGGGAGAGGUGAGUGGAACUGCGAGUGUAGAGGUGAAAUUCGUAGAUAUUCGCAAGAACACCAGUGGCGAAGGCGGCUCACUGGCCCGGUACUGACGCUGAGGUGCGAAAGCGUGGGGAGCAAACAGG